rnacentral:rRNA from 1 species
GCGUGAGUGAAGAAGGCCUUAGGGUUGUAAAGCUCUUUUGGUGGGGAAGAUAAUGACGGUACCCACAGAAUAAGCCCCGGCUAACUUCGUGCCAGCAGCCGCGGUAAUACGAAGGGGGCUAGCGUUGUUCGGAAUUACUGGGCGUAAAGCGCACGCAGGCGGAUUGAUUAGUCAGAGGUGAAAUCCCAGGGCUCAACCUUGGAAUUGCCUUUGAUACUGUCAGUCUUGAGUCCGGGAGAGGUGAGUGGAAUUCCUAGUGUAGAGGUGAAAUUCGU